rnacentral:rRNA from 1 species
UAGGGAAUAUUGGACAAUGGGCGAAAGCCUGAUCCAGCGACGCCGCGUGAGGGACGAAGGCCUUCGGGUUGUAAACCUCUGUUGCGGGGAAAGAAGCCUGGUGCAUAACCAGGUGACGGUACCUCGCCAGAAAGCCCCGGCUAACUACGUGCCAGCAGCCGCGGUGAGACGUAGGGGGCGAGCGUUGUCCGGAUUCACUGGGCGUAAAGGGCGUGUAGGCGGUUACGUAAGUCCGGCGUGAAAACCCACGGCUCAACCGUGGACCUGCGUCGGAGACUGCGUUGACUAGAGGACGGUAGAGGCAGGUGGAACUAGCGGUGUAGCGGUGAAAUGCGCAGAUAUCGCUAGGAACGCCGGUGGCGAAGGCGAUCUGCUGGGCCGAUCCUGACGCUGAGGCGCGAAAGCUAGGGGAGCGAACCGG